rnacentral:tRNA from 1 species
ACUGUUUAGGCGGAUUAGCGCGUUAAGUUUAGAACUUAAAACUAGGGAAACCAAAUAGUG